UCGCUCUGGGGUUUUGAUUGUUCCAUUUUGCUCUGACAACUCUGACUUGACUGCUAGGCUUUCUGAGUGAUGAUCUGAUUUUUAAAGUCCCUUAACAGGAUAUGAAUCUUGUAGUAUUGCAUUAUAAUUGCUAACAGGCUGCCUGGCUCGGCUUGAGUUAAGUUGCAACUCGUUUCCAAAGGAGGCAAAUGAGGCCAGUGCCCGGGAGCAUAGCCCCAGCAUGGCUGCCAAAAUGCUGACCAGUGAUUCAUUUUAUGACCUACCUUCAAGCAAGCAAUUUUAAAGAAAGAGGGAUGCCUCCUGCACUAUCGUUUUGAAUAUAACCUAGUCACAUUCUUUCAGAAUUGUUUUGUAGUGUAUUUAAAUAUGGAAAGAGCCUUCGCUUCAUAGCACAUAUUACAUUUGUAACCUGUAUUGGCAUACCUAAAUCCCAGGCCCUUUGCUGUAACAUUUUUACUUUAGAUUGGAGCUGGGGAACACUCUCAUUUUAUCUCCUGCUGCAUCUCAGAUGUGAAGGCUCUUUGGGCUCCACCAUUACCUCCCUGGCAGUCCACCCUGCACCAUAGCAACAAGCACAUGUGCUCCCUCCAAGUCAGGGGACACCAGGCAGGAUGGGGAGAGGGAGGACGAAAGCUAUGAAGGAGUAUGUGGCUGAUGGGAAGGACACAGAAGACAGAUGCUGAUGCUACAAAAGACGGAGACACUUGUAGAGUCAAGGUGCUUAGGAGACAGAGGGAGACGCAGAACACAGGUUGGGGGUCUGCAUUUGGUGGCAGCAGGGACUCCGCUGCCAGGUGAAAGGGGAUCCAUGGAAAGAGACAAAAGGUCUAUGGCUUGUUGGGGACAGAGGACACAACGGAAGCCAGCAAGCCAAAGCCCCUCAUUCCAAACACCAGCUUUGGAGUCCGUACAGGGCUGGCUGUCCACAUGGUCAUCUGUUCUCAGACAAAAACUUCACUACACAUUGCAGAAAAAAAUAAGAAGUGAACUUUGUCCCUGUGAUUUCUGCUGUCCCCACUCAUUGACGGUCUGUUGGAACCUUGGGCGGAGUCUUGUCUGCAUUUCGCGUGGGCACCUGCAAAGAAGCUCGUGACAUGGUGGGACCCCAGUGACACAGAGCUGCAGAGUCUGGACUGCAAAGGCCUUCACCCUCAAAGUCGCUCAUUCACAGAGUGGGAAACUGGAAGAGCGGGCCAAAACGAACGGAAUGGAAUUUUAAAGGGAUUGAUGUAAAUUUCUGCUCUGGAGUUUUUUUUAAAAUAAACGUUAUACAUGUUUGGAAUGAAGGGAAACAAUAGCCAGCUGUGUACGUGUGGGAGCCGAUAGGAGUCGGGAGGACACAAAAUUAAUACAGUAAUGAAAAUGUCAGAGACCAGCCCCAUCACCCCACAGUAUAUCAAAUUUCCCCAGUGAAUCAUCUCGGAGGAAAUGCCUUCCGUAGUACCGAAUAAAAACCAUGAGAGUCAACCGUGGUCUGCAGCUUGUGGGAAUUUCUUCAGCCACCCACACCGCUGGUUUGGAUGACAAAUAAGCCCCCACAGGCCACGCUGAGCCCAGUGGCCACUUGAGGCUGCUUAGAUCUGUCUCGGCUCUGAGGACCUCCCUCUGGAAAAUGUACAUCCUGUGCACUUGAAUUUACUGAAACUUCUUCAUUUUAACGUUGUAAUCAAGGCCAAUCAUUUUCAUGUCAAUUUUUUAAAAACCCCAUCGCAGGGAAAACAGGGCUCUGCACACAGGAAAUACUCAGAAGCCAUGUUUCUACUUAAUGGUAAAAUAAGGACCAACAAUUCUUGUGUUACCAACCUCACCAGGUUUUCAGGUCAAAGGAAAUAUACCACUGACGUCUUUGCAAAUACAGACGUUCCCCAAAAAGCAUAUUUGGGUUUGUAUAACACCUCAAUUAACUGGAUUAAAUUGGGAAUGGGUUUCUGGUUAACUGAAUUUGUUUCAACCCAUGUUAAAAGCUUCCUAAAAUGUUUGUUCGCCUUUUUACUUCGGUAACACCAUCUGGGGCAUCUCUCAGCCCCUCCUGGCUCAGGGGUCAGGCAGGAAUGAGUGGAGCUAACCCUGAACGAAUAUUGGCCCCCUUAAUGAAUCCACUUCAUUUCUGAUCAAUGCCUCUCCUCUGAGACAAGCUCCAUGACGACAGGAACCAUGUCUAUCUUGGCUUGGAUGACAAAUCAGCCCCCACAGGCCACGACGAGCUCAGUGGCUGGGAGCCUUGGGGCCCAAUACAACGUCUUCGUUCAGAGGGUGUGUAAUAAAUAUGUGUUAUGUGAAAAGUUUCCUGAUGUUAGUCUUGUUUUAAUUCAUUUUUCUUCCAAAA
rnacentral:lncRNA from 10 species